AAUUCCCCAUUGGGUUUUAGGAAGAAGUAAUUUGUGGCAAACAAGGAAGACAAACCUGAAUCCUUUGCUGCAUCCUUCCUCCUGUUAAAGAAGAUUUGUGAUUCUACAUCUAAAUCCAAGAACUUUCCAUGUGGCCCUGGAUUCUCUCCACACCCUCCAAGAAGGGGGAUAUCUGAGUGAUUAAAGCAUCUGGGUCAUUCUUCAAGUACCUCUCCAGACCAUGAGUAGAAGGCCAUGCUUCAUCCUCCUGUAAAAGGGUCAUGACUAUUCAGACAAGACUCUCAAAGGCAACCUGAAGAGAUGCUAACCAAAACAUGUGAACAUUUAACACAGCUGAUGCAACUGAUAUCCUGGGCUCCUAGGAAAAGAAAUCCCUGCUGCUGCAGACGUGUUGAAAGGCAGCUGAAAGCACAGUGAGUAGAAGAAGGUAUGGGAGGAAAUCCAGCAGAGGAAAGAGUUGCUGGAAGAAAGCAAAAGCAGAGAUAAUGCCUCUUGCUCAGGAAGUUUUAAAUUGAAAUUUGCUGAAGAUUGACAGUGUUUUGGGGAACUAUUACUCAUGCUUAUACUAUCUUACAUUUUUUGUUAAGCUUUUACUCUUGCUCACCAUCAGAAACACUCUAUUGCACUGCAAAUGCCUUUAGUCUGAUUCUUUAUGGCUUUUUUUAUCAUAACUAAUAGUUUUUUUACUGAAUCUCUCCCAGUCUGAGUGCAUUACUCUUGCAGGAGUUUAACCAGCAUGGCAGUCAGUAUUCCAGCUCAUUUGGGAAAAGAACAGGAGAGCAAAACAUUCUUACAAUUGCCUGUGAACUUAUACACUGAGAGUGGCCUGUGGGAAGUCUGCUCUGCUGUGGAUUUCUGGUCUCUGAGACAUGAGGUCUGAGAGGCUGACUGCAUUCAGGAUACAACACCUUGUAGAGGGAGUGCUGUGAUAUGUUGAAAAAAAUCGUUCAGGCAUAAGAGGAGAGAAAGAAGUUGUAAAAGUUAAAGCAAGAUCCUCGAGGAGCAUCAGCACUGCCAGCAUCUGUGAGUUCAGUGCGUAGCCUCUUUUCUCAGCACAUUUGCUUUGGGCAAAAAUAUAAUAAUAAUUCAUCAGCUGAAGUAGGGGCUGUAGUUUGGUUUUGAAUCCUGCUCUCCUGGCACCAACAGCAUUUUCACAUGGGCUGAAGCUCUUAUGGCUGUUUUCAUCCAACGUGGUCGAGCAGGCUAAAAGGAAGAGAAAUGCAGCUGAAUUCUGAGGGAUCAGGUUCUACCCACCUCUAACAUAUUAUUUAACUUUUCAUCCUUUAAGUAGUCUUAUUGAUUUCAGUGGAAGAAUUUGUUACUGCAGAAUGUGAAUAAGAUGUCAGAAUUUCACCCUAAAUAUUUCACUUUACAAAGGAAGCCAUGAUGCAGAAGAAAACACACCCUGGGCUGCAGCAGGAUUCAAAAUUUGCAGUUACAAUAAAAGCUGGGAAGCCUUUUUCUUCUUUGUGAUGGUGGCCUCCUAUUGAAAGUGUCUAAUAAACAGAACCACUUCUGUGUGAAUUAAAUGAAAGAUGCUCAUAUACAAACUGAGAGUCUUCUAAUCCCUACAGCACCACAAAUAAUUCAAAGAAGUUUUGAAGUGCCACGAUAAUGGCACAAGAUGGUUAUCUCUGUAUUAUUGGUUUUGUGUACAUCAAAGAAGGCUCAGUGGGAAAAAAUAAUGUUGCGUAAAAAAAUCCUAAACACAUUUCUUUUAAGAAAAAGCAGACAAUUAAAAUUAUCCAGAAGUUAAGAAAAAUAUGAACUAAAAAUAUUUUGCCUUUGAAAGUCUAUAUUACCCUUAAACAAUUUUAUGGUGGA